AGCUACUCAGUGGUCUCCUCGGCGACGAAGCUCGUCGCCUAUUCGGCGAUGGAGGUGGUGGGAAAUUACAAACCCUAAGCGAAAGAUCACGAUUAUCCGUCCAAAUCGAGGGAUCCAUCGACCCUUUUCCUUUGAUCUCUCUCCUUUAUCUUUUUAAUUCUUCUUUUCUUGCAUAGGAUUUUGUCCACAGAUCGGUUCUUCGUGUUCUCGAUUGUGUAAUUUUGUGAUUUAUUUGCUCGAUUUCUUCUAUGUUGAUGUGUUUACUGCGUUUUUGAUGAAAAUGAGUUGCAAUGCAGGAUGUUGUGGUGUUCUUUUGAUUCGUUUACGUUAAAUUAAUCGUAUUAGUUUGAACGUAAUCUUUGUAAUUCUUCUUUUCUCGCGGAAGAUAUGUUCUCAGAUCGGUUCUUACUGUACUUGGUUGUGUAAUUUGUGAUUCGUUUGCCCUAUCUCUUCUACGUUUGCUGUUAAUUGCGUCUUUUGAUGUUGAUAAGCUGCAAUGUAGGAUGUCGUUGUGUUUUCUUGAUUUGUUUAUAUUAAAAUAAAUGCUCUUCUUCUUCUUCUUUUUAUGGAAUUGCAUACAUGUAAUUGUGAUGGAUACGCUCUUGAUUUUUCUUUGAGUUUUUGAAUUUUGGGCAGUAUAAAACUAUGUGAAUCACUUGUUGUGGAGGCAAUUAGAAGUUCAUGUGAGUGAUUGUAUUUCCCAAAAGGAUUGAUUCCAAAAGCAAUGUUCUGCUAGUUCCUUCUAUCAUUUCGUGACUGUAGAUCCAUUGAGAUUAAAUAUUAUACUUAGGGUCCGUUUGGUUCGCGGUUUGUAUAUUUCCAUAAUCCUUCAUAUUUUCUAUUAAAAAUAUUCAAAUUAUUAUCAUUCAACUCUAACUGGGUAGUAGUUAAAGGUGUUAGUGAAGAAGUAAAUCAUUGUAGAUUCCUUGAUGGUAGGAAUACUAGAUUAUCAUGAGUUAGGAGGUGGGAAUCACUAUUAAUCCACUAAUAAAAAUAUACUAGUUCUUAACAACCUCCCAACACAAGUUGUUUGAUACGUUAGUAACAAAUUUGUCGUUUCAAGUAUAGAAUAUACAACAUUUCUAGAAUGUUACAAACUUUGAACCAAACAGCCCCUUGAGAUUUUAUCAAGAAUAAGAAGAUCGCACUAGGGAACACAAUGUGUCGUGGCUAUAUACUUUAUGUAUAAUUACGAAAUAUCAUCAAGAUUCUUUUACUUUGCUCCUUAUGGAUGCUUUUUAUGUUUUAUAAUGGACAGAAACUCUGAGGACUAUUAUGUUAAGAGAAUAUGACAGAUGUCCCUUGUGAAAGGUAGGGCAAAAAGAUUGACUGUUGAUGCUGCAAUUGUGUUUGUUUGCCAUGGGAACAAUGCCCAUUUUUCUCUUAGCGUCAUGGUGAAAAUUGAUGCUUUGAGAAGAUUGGGACAAAAUGAGAGAAGAGAGGAGAAAAAUAGGAUUGCUGUUGAUAGAGGCUUUCAUGUCUCUUCAGGUCUGCACCCCAGAUAAAGCGUAUAUUUCUCCACUGUCAUUCCCUUGAUGAAAAUGAAAUGCUCUUCAUUAUUAUGAUUUUCCCCAUAUGUUGCUUGCGUAACAUACAACUAUGCUUAGGAGGUUAUGCCGCAAACUUAUUAACAUGAAAGAAGCCACAACUGUGAUGUAACACUCAUGCAAACCUGAUUCUAGUUAAUGACAAGUUCCUAGGAUCAACAUUUGUCACCACCUUCCAUGGCCUUCAUAUGGGAGGAAUAAAACUUGCCAUUCUUUGUCCUGCAGUCUAUGUGGGACAGUUUGGUGGACCUUACACCUAUGCACUAGUGAGUGCUGGCAUGUGAUGGCCGAGUGUUGGGAACUUCUAUUGAGGGACUAAAGUAUUAACUUAUUAUAGAAUUGCAGCUAAACCAUUUUGUGCAGAAGCGUCGCAGAAGCCUUCCUUGAGUCUUCUUUUUUGCAGGUGUCAUGUUCUUCAGUGAGGGGGACUAAUCAAUCAAUUAGGCAAAUUUAAGGGCUGGAUUGGCUUUGCUAGAGCUUUUUUAUCAGUGCUAUUUAGAAGCUGGAUCAAACAGGUAUUAAGACCGCCUGCUGGAUAGAUCAUGUCUGAGAUAAGCAUGCGAAUCUCUUAACUUUUGCAAGGAGCUGGAGAUUUGAAGCUCUAUCCGUCUUCGUCAGAGGCUGUUCUCUGUCCAAGGAUAGCGUGCUGGAUUAUCUUAAGGUUAGUCAAUGUUUUAACUUAAAUAAUUGAUCCUCAGCUUAUCUGCUUAGUUAUUUUAAUGACUCUCAUAUUCUAUGGAUUUGCAGUUUAAUUGGUUAAUAAAUUAAGGCAUAAUUGCUCACCAUUAGUUAGGCGUUUUUUGGAUUUGAAUUUUAAUUUGUUAAUAAGUUAGGGAAAUUCGUUUAUUUGAAGGGAAACCAAGAGUGAACGUAUUUGGAAGUAAAAAAAAAAAAAAAAAAACUACCACCCUAGCAGCGAGUCUAACUAUCGCCGGUUUCUGAAAUUUUGUGGUAUUGAUCGCAGAGUGUAGCAUAGACAUUAGAUAACUAUGAUAUAGAUAUCAGUAUGAGACGGGCAUCAUUAAUUCAUUGUUGCAUUUAAGUUUCGUAUGCAAUGUAGGCUCCAACAUGAAAAUGAAGUUGGAAAAUGAUAUGUGAACGGUCACUGGGUUGCUGUGAAAUUUAAGUUUUGUAGAAACUGAACUUCGGGAAUUUAGCACAUGACAAAUUUUUCGAAGUAGGUACAGAUAAAGCGGUCACUAAAAAAGGUGGGAAAGGAAAUUUGCUCCUUUUUUUUGUCAUUACCUUUUCUGAACACUUGUCUGAACAUUUGCCAAAUUAACAUUCUUUUUCAAGGAACACGCACUAGUAUUACUUCAUGCAUCUUCUUACCUACGUAUGAAAUUAGAUCACAUUUAGUCUUAAGGUUUGAAGAGUAAACCACGGAAUGUGGUUCAGAGCAUCCAAAAGAUGUUUCUAUAUUGCAUAUAAUCUUUUGAAACUUUCUUUUUUUUUUUUUUCGUAUAAAUCAAUUAGUCAAAACAAUUAGAAAUCAUUGAUUAUAGUUGUACUAUAGCUGGUGCUGACAGAUGGGUUUUCAGUAGUUAAGUUUUUUUGCCAUUUUGGAUUACAUUGAAUUAUUUAUGUUUUCGUUUUAGUUGUGGUUCCGUUUCGUAUU